UAGCCUAAUGGUUAAGGCUAUGGAUCGCCAAUCCGGAGACGGCGGGUUUGAUUCCCGU
rfam:Aedes albopictus isolate Foshan contig117075, whole genome shotgun sequence.